GGCUAGGUAGCUCAGUCUGGUAGUAGCACCUGUUUGAAGUACAGGGUGUCGUCGGUUCAAAUCCGACCCUAGCCA
rnacentral:tRNA from 1 species